AACGAACGCUGGCGGCAUGCCUAACACAUGCAAGUCGAACGAGACCUUCGGGUCUAGUGGCGCACGGGUGCGUAACGCGUGGGAACCUGCCUUUAGGUUCGGAAUAACUCAGAGAAAUUUGAGCUAAUACCGGAUGAUGUCUUCGGACCAAAGAUUUAUCGCCUUUGGAUGGGCCCGCGUUGGAUUAGCUAGUUGGUGGGGUAAAGGCCUACCAAGGCGACGAUCCAUAGCUGGUCUGAGAGGAUGAUCAGCCACACUGGGACUGAGACACGGCCCAGACUCCUACGGGAGGCAGCAGUGGGGAAUAUUGGACAAUGGGCGAAAGCCUGAUCCAGCAAUGCCGCGUGAGUGAUGAAGGCCUUAGGGUUGUAAAGCUCUUUUACCCGAGAUGAUAAUGACAGUAUCGGGAGAAUAAGCGCCGGCUAACUCCGUG
rnacentral:rRNA from 1 species